rnacentral:rRNA from 1 species
GUCUAUGCCACACACGCCCAAUCACAUUUGAUCUCAGAAACUAAGCAGUGUUGGGCCUGGUUAGUACUUGGAUGGGAGAGAGGGGAGGGAAUAUAGAGA